rnacentral:misc_RNA from 1 species
GAAACCUUUGGUUCUCCACUCCACCUUGAGUCCCUAAACCAGCCAAGUAGUCAUUCCUCUCAUUGUUUUUAUCUAUCCCUCUUGGAUUUUAACUCUCAUGCCGCCCUCUCAAGCUCCGACCUCUAUUUCGCAGCUCUUAGGUUGCCAUCAUCCUCCUCAAUCCUCUUCGGCUUGAGCCUUCGCCAAUAGCUUGACCUUGACAUGACGACACCUUUUCCUCUUGCUUUAAUGAUGCAUAUACAUCGCCUCAACUCAACACACUCGCCUCAAGGAGUCUCUCUC